rnacentral:tRNA from 1 species
GUGCAUGUAGCUGAAUGGUAGAGCACAGGAUUAGCAUGUAUAAGGCCCUGGGUUCAAUUCCCAGCACACACA